rnacentral:lncRNA from 1 species
GGGGCUGGCUACGGCGCUGCCUGCGCGGCGGAAACACCGGGGGCCUCCGGCCGGGGAGCGGAGGAGCGCCGCGCUGCUUUAGUCCGUACGGCGCAGGUGAUCUCCAGGCCUGGUUGCACAAGUGCCCGGGUCCUUAAUCAUCUCUGUUUUGGCCGCUGUUCCUCCUUCUACAUUCCCAGCUCGGAUCCCACCCCUGUAGUCUUCUGCAACAGCUGUGUGCCGGCUCGAAAGCGCUGGACAUCGGUGACGCUGUGGUGUGGAGCUGGCCAAUUAGCCUCCCCUCGGCGGGUGAGGAUUUCCACGGUAUUGGUCCAGAAGUGUCAGUGCCGCCCGAAGCUGUGAGCUGAGCAUCCUAGAGGAAUGCGCAGGACAUGAAUGAACCUUGGCAAGAAGCAGGAGACGCAAUAGAAAGACGUGACCUGAAUGAUGUGCAUCGGGUCAAGAGAGCAGAAUUGGACAGGGCCAGAAUACUAGACAUGGUCCCCCAGUCAUGGGUUUAGACCACUAAUAGUCGUAGAAUGUGGGGCUAGGGUAUAACUCAGUGGGAGAGGGCUUGCCUAGCAUGCAUGAAGCCCUGGGUUCUAUUCGUAUGUGAUAUGUGGAGGUUAAAAAAAGGUGAAAAUUAGCUAUAGUGUAUGAUUAGCCCUGUGUGAGAGGGAACAUUCAUGCCACAAUCACUAACUCACGUCCUCCUCAGGAAUCCUCAGCAGUCCCGCAAGGUAGAAUUUCACCAUGGGUCAUUUUACAGAUGAGGAAACCGAAGCUAUUUAGGCACUGUCACUUUUGGAGAGGGGUGGAAUAGGGAGAGGGCUUCAGACACAGCCCUGACGCACGCGCAGCACAGCUCCCUGCUGAGCUCCUCCCCCAGCCUGGGGUUCCGCUUUUAGCCACUAGGUGGCACCGCGUCCCAGUGUCCAAGACAGACACUCCCAACUGUUAUGAUGACAGCACUACCCAAACCUGGACACUCAGCAAAGAUGACCCUGUUCUGGGGACACCAGAAUAACAGCAGCAGCAGCAACAACAACAGCAACAAACUAUGGCAGGCAAGCAGGAAGCAGCUGCUAGGAAAACCUGGCCCCAACCAGAGGCGACCCCGCAUGUGUGCAGCUGCCUCUCUCAUCGACAGUAGCCAGGGGUUUCCCUUUUUGCCCCACCCGAGACCCCGCAGCAGCCUCAUGCCCAGCCUGGCAUUCCGUGGGAACCAUAAAGGUUGGCCAAGUCC